rnacentral:rRNA from 1 species
GGACUACUGGGGUAUCUAAUCCUGUUUGCUCCCCACGCUUUCGCGCCUUAGCGUCAGUAUCGAGCCAGAGAGUCGCCUUCGCCACCGGUGUUCUUGUGAAUAUCUACGAAUUUCACCUCUACACUCACAAUUCCACUCUCCUCUCUCGAUCUCAAGUCAAUCAGUAUCAAAUGCACCUCCUAGGUUAAGCCCAGGGCUUUCACAUCUGACUUGAAAGACCGCCUACGCGCCCUUUACGCCCAGUAAUUCUGAACAACGCUAGCCCCCUUCGUAUUACCGCGGCGGCUGGCAC